GUGGGGAAUAUUGGGCAAUGGGCGAAAGCCUGACCCAGCAACGCCGCGUGAGGGAAGAAGGCCUUCGGGUUGUAAACCUCUGUCCUUGGUGACGAAAAAAAUGACGGUAGCCAAGGAGGAAGCCCCGGCUAACUACGUGCCAGCAGCCGCGGUAAUACGUAGGGGGCGAGCGUUGUCCGGAAUUACUGGGCGUAAAGGGUGCGUAGGUGGCCUUUUAAGUUGGAUGUGAAAUACCCGGGCUUAACUUGGGGGGUGCAUCUAAUACUGGAGGGCUAGAGUGCAGGAGAGGGAAGCGGAAUUCCUAGUGUAGCGGUGAAAUGCGUAGAUAUUAGGAGGAACACCAGUGGCGAAGGCGGCUUACUGGUCCAUUACUGACGCUGAGGUGCGAAAGCGUGGGGAGCAAACAGGAUUAGAAACCCCGGUAGUCC
rnacentral:rRNA from 1 species